UACGUAGGGUGCGAGCGUUAAUCGGAAUUACUGGGCGUAAAGCGUGCGCAGGCGGUUUUAUAAGCCAGAUGUGAAAGCCCCAGGCUCAACCUGGGAAUGGCAUUUGGGACUGUAAGGCUGGAGUAUGGCAGAGGGGACUAGAAUUCCUGGUGUAGCAGUGAAAUGCGUAGAUAUCAGGAGGAAUACCGAUGGCGAAGGCAGGUCCCUGGGCCAAUACUGACGCUCAUGCACGAAAGCGUGGGGAGCAAACAGG
rnacentral:rRNA from 1 species